ACGGAGAAGGCUAUGUUGGCCGGGCGACGGUUGUCCCGGUUUAAGCGUGUAGGCUGGUUUUCCAGGCAAAUCCGGAAAAUCAAGGCUGAGGCGUGAUGACGAGGCACUACGGUGCUGAAGCAACAAAUGCCCUGCUUCCAGGAAAAGCCUCUAAGCAUCAGGUAACAUCAAAUCGUACCCCAAACCGACACAGGUGGUCAGGUAGAGAAUACCAAGGCGCUUGAGAGAACUCGGGUGAAGGAACUAGGCAAAAUGGUGCCGUAACUUCGGGAGAAGGCACGCUGAUAUGUAGGUGARGUCCCUCGCGGAUGGAGCUGAAAUCAGUCGAAGAUACCAGCUGGCUGCAACUGUUUAUUAAAAACACAGCACUGUGCAAACACGAAAGUGGACGUAUACGGUGUGACGCCUGCCCGGUGCCGGAAGGUUAAUUGAUGGGGUUAGCGGUAACGCGAAGCUCUUGAUCGAAGCCCCGGUAAACGGCGGCCGUAACUAUAACGGUCCUAAGGUAGCGAAAUUCCUUGUCGGGUAAGUUCCGACCUGCACGAAUGGCGUAAUGAUGGCCAGGCUGUCUCCACCCGAGACUCAGUGAAAUUGAACUCGCUGUGAAGAUGCAGUGUACCCGCGGCAAGACGGAAAGACCCCGUGAACCUUUACUAUAGCUUGACACUGAACAUUGAGCCUUGAUGUGUAGGAUAGGUGGGAGGCUUUGAAGUGUGGACGCCAGUCUGCAUGGAGCCGGCCUUGAAAUACCACCCUUUAAUGUUUGAUGUUCUAACGUUGGCCCCUGAUCGGGGUUGCGGACAGUGUCUGGUGGGUAGUUUGACUGGGGCGGUCUCCUCCUAAAGAGUAACGGAGGAGCACGAAGGUUGGCUAAUCCUGGUCGGACAUCAGGAGGUUAGUGCAAUGGCAUAAGCCAGCUUGACUGCGAGCGUGACGGCGCGAGCAGGUGCGAAAGCAGGUCAUAGUGAUCCGGUGGUUCUGAAUGGAAGGGCCAUCGCUCAACGGAUAAAAGGUACUCCGGGGAUAACAGGCUGAUACCGCCCAAGAGUUCAUAUCGACGGCGGUGUUUGGCACCUCGAUGUCGGCUCAUCACAUCCUGGGGCUGAAGUAGGUCCCAAGGGUAUGGCUGUUCGCCAUUUAAAGUGGUACGCGAGCUGGGUUUAGAACGUCGUGAGACAGUUCGGUCCCUAUCUGCCGUGGGCGCUGGAGAACUGAGGGGGGCUGCUCCUAGUACGAGAGGACCGGAGUGGACGCAUCACUGGUGUUCGGGUUGUCAUGCCAAUGGCACUGCCCGGUAGCUAAAUGCGGAAGAGAUAAGUGCUGAAAGCAUCUAAGCACGAAACUUGCCCCGAGAUGAGUUCUCCCUGACUCCUUGAGAGUCCUGAAGGAACGUUGAAGACGACGACGUUGAUAGGCCGGGUGUGUAAGCGCAGCGAUGCGUUGAGCUAACCGGUACUAAUGAACCGUGAGGCUUAACCUUACAACGCCGAAG
rnacentral:rRNA from 1 species